AAAAAGGUAAGAAAAUUAGGUAGUAAUAGAUGUCUUGAAACUUAAAAAAAUUGGCGGUGUUUUAAACUAAUUAGAGGAAUCUGUUUUUUAAUCGACAAUACUCGACAGAUCUUACUUAAUUUAUUGGUUUGUAUAUCGUUGUAAUAAUAAUAUUUUAUACUCAUUAUUGAAAGUAAUUUUAUUUUUAAUAUCAGAUCAAGGUUCAGCUUAUGUUUAAGUGAGAAAUGGAUUACAAUAUAGACAUAUAUUUACGAAUUUUAUUAUUAAAUAGUAAAUGAAGGUGGAUUUAAAAGUAUUUUUAUAUUAAUAUGUUAGAUUGAAUUAGCCCUAAAACAUGU
rnacentral:rRNA from 1 species